UGAGGAAUUUUGCACAAUGGGGGAAACCCUGAUGCAGCGACGCCGUGUGAGGGAUGAAGGGGCUUUGCCCUGUAAACCUCUGUCGGGGGAGAAAAAAAGUACGGUCACCGUACUGGGAUUGUAUCCCCAAAGGAAGGGUCGGCUAACUACGUGCCAGCAGCCGCGGUAAUACGUAGGACCCGAGCGUUGUCCGGAUUUACUGGGUGUAAAGGGUGCGCAGGCGGAUCUGUGCGUCGGAGGUUAAAGACCCGGGCUCAACCCGGGAAGUGCCUUCGAUACGGCGGAUCUUGAGUAUGAGAGAGGAGGGUAGAAUUCCUGGUGUAGCGGUGAAAUGCGUAGAUAUCAGGAGGAAUACCAGUGGCGAAGGCGGCCCUCUGGCUCAUUACUGACGCUCAGGCACGAAAGCGUGGGUAGCAAACAGG
rnacentral:rRNA from 1 species